ensembl:processed_transcript
AUGGAAAUAGAAAUGCAGCAGGGAGUAGUCACACUCCACACGCGCUGGCAGAAAGAAUUCCUGGUGACAUUUGUUGUGUGAAGAUUACUCACUGGCCCGUAGCCUGGCGUAGCACAACAGUGAUGGCUUUAAAGACAUGGAGUUGGCGCUGUCCCAGCCUCGACACCUCACCCACAAACUGUGCCUCCUGUCAACCCCCCCACGGGCACCUAUUGUGGUGAAUCAGUGACCGUACCGUUCCUUCUUUCUGCUCUUCACCAACAAAUGAUGAACUAAGUGGGAAAAAAGACAGAAUGGAAUG